AUGUUUCCUGCAUCUCUGCUGCUGUUGUUGGCAGCUGGUUGUGUGAUGUGUCAGAAGAUGACUCAGCCAGCCUCUGUGACGGUGCCGUCAGGUCAGCGUCUGACCAUCAACUGUCAGAUCUUCUAUUCAGUUAAUGAUCAUCACACUCAUUGGGUCAGACAGCCUGAGAGAAAAGGACUGGAAUGGAUCGGAGGAGCUCGUAUUGGAUAUAAUUCAUAUUUCAAAGAUUCACUAAAAAACAAGUUCUCCAUCAGCUUAGACUCUACCACCAACACAGUGACUCUGAAGGGAGAGAACAUGCAGGCUGAAGACUCUGCUGUGUAUUACUGUGCGCGAGAGUCACAGUGA